UGGGAUAUGACCUCCAGUUUUUGUGGAGCUU
rnacentral:piRNA from 1 species